AGCGAACGCUGGCGGCAGGCUUAACACAUGCAAGUCGAACGCCCCGCAAGGGGAGUGGCAGACGGGUGAGUAACACGUGGGAACGUACCCUUUGGUUCGGAAUAACUUGGGGAAACUCAAGCUAAUACCGGAUAAGCCCUUAUGGGGAAAGGUUUACUGCCGAAGGAUCGGCCCGCGUCUGAUUAGCUAGUUGGUGAGGUAAUGGCUCACCAAGGCGACGAUCAGUAGCUGGUCUGAGAGAAUGAUCAGCCACACUGGGACUGAGACACGGCCCAGACUCCUACGGGAGGCAGCAGUGGGGAAUCUUGCGCAAUGGGCGAAAGCCUGACGCAGCAACGCCGCGUGCGGGAUGACGGCCUUCGUGGUUGUAAACCGCUUUCAGCAGGGACGAAAAUGACGGUACCUGCAGAAGAAGCUCCGGCUAACUACGUGCCAGCCGCCGCUGUAA
rnacentral:rRNA from 1 species